rnacentral:rRNA from 1 species
GGCGGCAUGCCUAAGACAUGCAAGUCGAACGGGAUGGCCCAUAGAAGCGGAAAUAAUUGGAGUGCUGCACAAAGAAGGAAAGAAGUGGAAGUGGAAAAUCCAUCCAGUGGCAAACGGGUGAGUAACACGUGGGUCACCUACCUCUAAGACGGGGACAACAGUUGGAAACGAUUGCUAAUACCGGAUGUGUUCUACGGAAUAAAGGGAGCCUAUAAAGCUCCGCUUAGAGAUGGGCCUGCGGUGCAUUAGAUAGUUGGUGGGGUAAGAGCCUACCAAGUCGACGAUGCAUAGCCGAACUGAGAGGUUAAACGGCCACACUGGGACUGAGACACGGCCCAGACUCCUACGGGAGACAGCAGUUAGGAAUAUUCGUCAAUGGGGGGAACCCUGAACGAGCAAUGCCGCGUGAAGGAAAGAAGGUCCUAUGGAUUGUAAACUUCUGUUGUAAGGGAAGAACGAUAUAUAUAGGAAAUGAUAUAUAAGUGACGGUACCUUAUAAGAAAGCCACGGCUAACUACGUGCCAGCAGCGGC